GAGUUCAUGCCCUUCGGGGUAGAUCUCCCACCCUUGUGUAUCAUUAUAGAAUGUUGCUUUGGCGGGCCGCGUGCCUAGCACGCCUGGAUUCGCGUCCGGCGUGCCCGCCAGAGGACCCCUAAACUCUGAGUGUUAGUGUCGUCUGAGUACUAUUAAAUAGUUAAAACUUUCAACAACGGAUCUCUUGGUUCU
rnacentral:misc_RNA from 1 species